UGCCAGCAUCCGCUGUACCCCUGGUUGCGCAAUCGUUGUUCGGAAUUACUGGGCGUAAAGCGCACGUAGGCGGAUCGUUAAGUGAGGGGUGAAAUCCCGGGGCUCAACCCCGGAACUGCCUCUAAUACUGCUAGUCUUGAGUUCGAGAGAGGUGAGUGGAAUUCCGAGUGUAGAGGUGAAAUUCGUAGAUAUUCGGAGGAACACCAGUGGCGAAGGCGGCUCACUGGCUCGAUACUGACGCCGAGGUGCGAAAGCGUGGGGAGCAAACAGGAUUAGAUA
rnacentral:rRNA from 1 species